rnacentral:rRNA from 1 species
GGGCUUACACAAGCGGUGGAGCAUGUGGUUUAAUUCGAAACAACGCGCAGAACCUUACCAAUCCUUGCAAUAUACAGGAAGCAACUGUUAUAAGUUGUCUUUUGGUAUACAGGCGCUGCAUGGCUGUCGUCAGUUCGUGGCGUGAGCUGUUGGGUUAAGUCCUAGAACGAACGCAACCCUCUUAGCAUGUGCAUUUUUAAUGCCUUGUUAAACUGCCAGUGACAUACGGGAAGAAGGAGAGGAUGACGUCAAGUCCGCAUGGCCCUUAUGGGUUGGGCUACACACGUGCUACAAUGGCGAACACAAAGGGAUGCAAGAUGGCAACAUGGAGCAAAUCCUCAACUUUCGUCGUAGUUCAGAUUGUUCUCUGCAACUCGAGAACAUGAAGUUGGAAUCGCUAGUAAUCGUAGAUC